GUCUAAGUACGAGCUCUCGUACAGUGAAACUGCGAAUGGCUCAUUAAAUCAGUUAUGGUUCAUUUGAUCGUACAGUUUACUUGGAUAACUGUGGUAAUUCUAGAGCUAAUACAUGCGAGAAGCGCAAAUUUUAACCCAUGAUGUGCUCGUUACUAAGAUCGUUUUUGUAUAUCUAAUUCGGGAUAUGUAACAAUCGUGUUAACCGUUGAGCUACACGACUAUACUUGAGAAUUUAAUAUAAUUUAUAUAUUGUGAUAUAAGAUAUGCAUAUUUUGUCUUCGUGAAUGAG
rnacentral:ncRNA from 1 species